rnacentral:SRP_RNA from 1 species
GCCGGGUGCGGUGGCAUGUGCCUGUAAUCCAAGUCACUGGGAGGCUGAGGUUGGUGGAUCAAGUGCGCUGAGGAGCUCUGGGCUGCAGCACGCUAUGUCGAACGGGUGUCCACGCUAAGUUCUGUAUCGAUAUGGUGUUCCUGGGGGAGCCCGGGACCACCAGGUUGUCUAAGGAGGGGUGAACCGGCCCAGGUCGGAAACGAAGCUAGGUCAAAUCCCCCGUGCUGUCCAGUACUGGGAUAAUACCUGUGAGUAGAUGCUGCAGUGCAGCCUUGGCAAAACAUUGAGACCUAAACUUUU